AUGGGGAUCUUCUCAAGGUCGAUCGAGCCGCAUGUUUUCGUCCAAGGUCACCAUUUUCUUGGGGGCACGCGGCGCUGGUGGAGACCAUUGCGGAGGGGAACCAAGCGGCAUCGGUGGUGGCGAUCCUGGAGACCGAUUUCCCCUGCAGCUCACGAGAUCGGGAGGGUGAGGGUGGGAGGCGAGAGAGAAGGAGAGGUGGGCACCCUGGACCUGGAGGCCUCGCUCGUUCCUGCCUUCGCUUGCGAGAGAACUACGUGA
rnacentral:rRNA from 1 species